CCGGCCGCCUCAUAAAUCGAGGCCCCGGCUUUUGGGCCUGCUAGGCCGCGAUCUUCCCGGCCCCUCCUCCUUGCUUCCCGGGCUUUUCUGACCCCGCCCGGCCCUCGGGAGGGGCUAUCUCCUCCACCCUUUACUGGGCAAACAUGUUUUU